rnacentral:antisense_RNA from 13 species
CUUCACCGACCCCAGCCACAACGGCCGACCCGGAUCACGCCCCUGCCCAUACGUCGCCAGCAGCGCCUGCGCCUC